CUUUAGGAAAUCAUUACUAACACAACUGUAAACGUAAAGUACGACCAUAACUCCCACAAAACUGUCAAAUAAGUUUGUUUUUAACUGCGUGAACCGCGGAGUUUUGAGCUAAAGUUUGCCUAGUGAUGUGCAGCUAAUGCGAUGAAAAAUCCGCUCAAACUUCCAUAUUUGGACACAUUUCCAUCAAACACUAAUGAUGUUUUUACUGUUAGGGGAAAAGAAGCCCACGGAGUGAUUUAAAGAAGCUACGAGGAGAAAACUCCACGUUUUCACGGACAGUGUAAACAUGUAAACAGUUGGUCAGUGUAGCUCGGAGUUAAGAUGAAAACACGCAUUAUUUCAUACAUUCAACUGAAAAGACUCAGUUUGACUCUAUCAAAGCUCAUAUUUACUUGUAAAUCACAUAAUAUAUGCCUCCAACGUGUGCAUUUCAUUCAGGGAAUACAUUAUCUACUUUUAACAAUCCGUGCAUGUUUGUAAAGUGAAGAGUAAAUAAUCCUGCCUGGACAGGUCAGAUUUAUGAUGGACAUGAGGCUCGUUUAACAGAUUUGUGCAGACACUGGUGUAGAUACGACCUGGCUGUGUCUGUUAAGUCUGUCACAUCUAAUGUUAUAACAAUGAGAAAUCUGUUUUACAUGAAUUUUCUUUUCUCAUCUGCAGCCUCCAGUAUGAGGACACAGCACACUGCAGGGGCCACAGAACUGUUGGCUGACAAGAUGCUUGUGAUUCAUAAAAUGGGUCAAAUGCAGAUGACAAAGUACGGCCAACACUGAGCUGGAGGUGCUGACCCAGACUCCUGCCAACAAUUAGGUUUUCACUCUGCAGGACAGAACUUUGAAUCAAUCAGACCUAACACCCAUUCUGCUCUUCCUCCUCCAGAAGACGAGAGACACAUCAGACUGAGUGGUCCAAGUCCACUGUCCAUGUCUCCAAUGUCCAUGUCCAGAGUCUCUGAGGAGGAGGUCCAGAGUCUCAUAUGAUCUGAACAAGUGUGUGAGACAGAAAUGAAAACAUCUGCUCAUAAGUUUUUCUGAAUGUUUUUCAGUCUGUACUGACAUUUGAUUUAUGGUGAAAUGUGCCAUUGGUUUGAUGUCUCUUUUGAUAGUAACUAAUUACAUGUACUAUAAGAAUGUACUAUUGUACUGCAGAUAAGCAGUGGUAUUCCACAUGAUCAUAUUUGGCAAAGAUAUUUUGUUCAUUUUUGAUUGUCACUUGCUUCAGCAAAAAGGGAACACAAUGAGAUUUACUGACAUACAGCUGUUUGUACUAACCUGUUAAUGCAGAGUGUGUGUAAUGGGUUUAAUAUUUGACUUCAUAUUAUGAUAAAGUAUUUCCAGAAGUUCCUUGGAUUGUUUAAUAAACCAGCUUUUCUCAGGA